UGAUAGCGAUGAAGUGUGAGGUUGCUGCCGAUUGCAAAGAGCAAGAUGGCAGGUUUUCCACGGAGCGAAUGUCAAGUUAGGAAACUGACGACAA
rnacentral:ncRNA from 1 species